rnacentral:rRNA from 1 species
ACCUGGUUGAUCCUGCCAGUAGUCAUAUGCUUGUCUCAAAGAUUAAGCCAUGCAUGUCUAAGUAUAAGCAAUUAUACCGCGAAACUGCGAAUGGCUCAUUAAAUCAGUUAUCGUUUAUUUGAUAGUACCUUACUACAUGGAUAACCGUGGUAAUUCUAGAGCUAAUACAUGCUAAAAAUCCCGACUUCGGAAGGGAUGUAUUUAUUAGAUUAAAAACCAAUGCCCUUCGGGGCUCUCUGGUGAUUCAUAAUAACUUCUCGAAUCGCACGGCCUUGCGCCGGCGAUGGUUCAUUCAAAUUUCUGCCCUAUCAACUUUCGACGGCUGGGUCUUGGCCAGCCGUGGUGACAACGGGUAACGGAGGGUUAGGGCUCGACCCCGGAGAAGGAGCCUGAGAAACGGCUACUACAUCCAAGGAAGGCAGCAGGCGCGCAAAUUACCCAAUCCCGACACGGGGAGGUAGUGACAAUAAAUACUGAUACAGGGCUCUUUCGGGUCUUGUAAUUGGAAUGAGUACAAUUUAAAUCCCUUAACGAGGAACAAUUGGAGGGCAAGUCUGGUGCCAGCAGCCGCGGUAAUUCCAGCUCCAAUAGCGUAUAUUAAAGUUGUUGAGGUUAAAAAGCUCGUAGUUGAACCUUGGGCCUAGCCGGCCGGUCCGCCUCACCGCGUGCACUGGCUCGGCUGGGUCUUUCCUUCUGGAGAACCUCAUGCCCUUCACUGGGUGUGACGGGGAACCAGGACUUUUACUCUGAACAAAUUAGAUCGCUUAAAGAAGGCCUAUGCUCGAAUACAUUAGCAUGGAAUAAUAGAAUAGGACGUGUGGUUCUAUUUUGUUGGUUUCUAGGACCGCCGUAAUGAUUAAUAGGGACAGUCGGGGGCAUCAGUAUUCAAUUGUCAGAGGUGAAAUUCUUGGAUUUAUUGAAGACUAACUACUGCGAAAGCAUUUGCCAAGGAUGUUUUCAUUAAUCAGGAACGAAAGUUAGGGGAUCGAAGACGAUCAGAUACCGUCGUAGUCUUAACCAUAAACUAUGCCGAUUAGGGAUCGGACGGCGUUAUUUUUUGACCCGUUCGGCACCUUACGAUAAAUCAAAAUGUUUGGGCUCCUGGGGGAGUAUGGUCGCAAGGCUGAAACCUAAAGAAAUUGACGGAAGGGCACCACCAGGGGUGGAGCCUGCGGCUUAAUUUGACUCAACACGGGGAAACUCACCAGGUCCAGACACGAUGAGGAUUGACAGAUUGAGAGCUCUUUCUUGAUUUCGUGGGUGGUGGUGCAUGGCCGUUCUUAGUUGGUGGAGUGAUUUGUCUGCUUAAUUGCGAUAACGAACGAGACCUUAACCUGCUAAAUAGCCCGUAUUGCUUUGGCAGUACGCUGGCUUCUUAGAGGGACUAUCGGCUCAAGCCGAUGGAAGUUUGAGGCAAUAACAGGUCUGUGAUGCCCUUAGAUGUUCUGGGCCGCACGCGCGCUACACUGACAGAGCCAGCGAGUACUCCCUUGGCCGGAAGGCCCGGGUAAUCUUGUUAAACUCUGUCGUGCUGGGGAUAGAGCAUUGCGAUUAUUGCUCUUCAACGAGGAAUCCCUAGUAAGCGCAAGUCAUCAGCUUGCGUUGAUUACGUCCCUGCCCUUUGUACACACCGCCCGUCGCUACUACCGAUUGAAUGGCUCAGUGAGGCUUCCGGACUGGCCCAGAGAGGUCGGCAACGACCACUCAGGGCCGGAAAGCUAUCCAAACUCGGUCAUUUAGAGGAAGUAAAAGUCGUAACAAGGUCUCCGUUGGUGAACCUGCRGAAGGAUCA